GUAUGCUAAUACCGGAUGUGCCGAGAGGUGAAAGGCGUAAAUUGCCAGAUGAUGAGCUCGCGUCAGAUUAGCUAGUUGGUGGGGUAAAGGCCUACCAAGGCGACGAUCUGUAGCUGGUCUGAGAGGACGAUCAGCCACACUGGAACUGAGACACGGUCCAGACUCCUACGGGAGGCAGCAGUGGGGAAUUUUCCGCAAUGGGCGAAAGCCUGACGGAGCAAUACCGCGUGAGGGAGGAAGGCUCUUGGGUCGUAAACCUCUUUUCUCUAGGAAGAUAAUGACGGUACUAGAGGAAUAAGCAUCGGCUAACUCCGUGCCAGCAGCCGCGGUAAUACGGAGGAUGCAAGCGUUAUCCGGAAUGAUUGGGCGUAAAGCGUCCGCAGGUGGUUAUGUAAGUCUGCGGUUAAAGAGUGGGGCUUAACUCCAUAAGGGCCGUGGAAACUACAAGACUAGAGUAGGUUAGGGGCAGAGGGAAUUCCCAGUGUAGCGGUGAAAUGCGUAGAGAUUGGGAAGAACACCGGUGGCGAAAGCGCUCUGCUAGGACAAUACUGACACUGAGGGACGAAAGCUAGGGGAGCGAAUGGGAUUAGAU
rnacentral:rRNA from 1 species